UGACCCCCACGUGCCCCCCAG
rnacentral:miRNA from 1 species